rnacentral:rRNA from 1 species
AUACGUAGGGAGCGAGCGUUGUCCGGAAUUACUGGGUGUAAAGGGAGCGUAGGCGGGACGGCAAGUCAGAUGUGAAAUACAUGGGCUCAACCCAUGGGCUGCAUUUGAAACUGCUGUUCUUGAGUGAAGUAGAGGUAAGCGGAAUUCCUGGUGUAGCGGUGAAAUGCGUAGAUAUCAGGAGGAACACCGGUGGCGAAGGCGGCUUACUGGGCUUUUACUGACGCUGAGGCUCGAAAGCGUGGGGAGCAAACAGGAUUAGAUACCCUGGUAGUCCACGCUGUAAACGAUGAUCACUAGGUGUGGGGGGACUGACCCCUUCCGUGCCGCAGUUAACACAAUAAGUGAUCCACCUGGGGAGUACGGCCGCAAGGUUGAAACUCAAAUGAAUUGGCGGGG